rnacentral:rRNA from 1 species
AUGGACCAUUCCAUCCCUUUUUCCCGUGCAUAUGCAUCGGAUUCGGAUGACGAAGGUCCCGAUGAACAAGUUGAUGAGGAGGGGUUCACGAUGAAGGAGGCCGAAGCUUUCGAGAAGGUAUUCGGUCGGGAUCACAAGACACCAUUGUUCAAGGAUGUUAGUCUCGCGGAUGAAGCCGUUGUGGAUGGUGGCAAAUCUAUAUCUCUUGGGGUUAGGCCAAGCUCUCAC